rnacentral:rRNA from 1 species
UACGGGAGGCAGCAGUGGGGAAUAUUGGACAAUGGACCAAGAGUCUGAUCCAGCAAUUCUGUGUGCACGAUGAAGUUUUUCGGAAUGUAAAGUGCUUUCAGUUGGGAAGAAAAAAAUGACGGUACCAACAGAAGAAGUGACGGCUAAAUACGUGCCAGCAGCCGCGGUAAU